rnacentral:lncRNA from 1 species
AAAACUAUAGUCGUUCUCUUCAUCAGCUAGCACUAAAAGUGAGGUUGCCCUCUUUCGAGUUCUAUACAUGUGAACUACGUAGAGAUGUUGCUGAUAGAGAAAUAUUUGUGAUCAACAUUCAUCAUCAAAAAAUUAUCACGGUACAAGAGGUAAUCUAAUACACUAUGAUUCACGAUCAUUUGUAAUGAUAUGUGGAUAAUUUUUUAUUUUAACCGUUGUGCUUAUAUGUUUUUACUAGCGAUUUUCCUUUAGAGCUGCAUUUAAUAACUUUUUCUUUUGUUAUGCCAAAGAAGAAGAAAGUUAUCUCAUCAUCGAAAGAGAUUUUCCCAUAAAACAUUUAUUGUGAUAAUUGUCCAGUUUUGAAAAAAUGUGCACUAAUUUUGUAGAUCACACAACUCAUGUUCCAAUUCAAAUGAUGUAGUUGGAUUAUUUUUUAGAAAACUUAAUCAUCCCAUAAUAAUAAUUUUACAUCUUAUAGGUUGUAUCAAUUAUAAGUUACAUGGUUGCUAAGAGAUAUAUUGAGAUGCCUUGAUUUUUUCAGUUGACGAGAUUAAUCACGUUUAUCGUGAGGCAAAUUGGUGUGUUGAUAAAUUGACUAAUCUAAACCUUAGUGGAGAUUUGAUAUUGUUGAUGUACGUACUCCACCUCCCAGUUAAUUGCUUCUUCUAGAUGAUGAUUGUAGAGAGAUGUUUUUCCCUCGUUUUUUGAUUUUCUUUUUUAUAUAAAAAAAAAAGAGAUCGAUUAACAGUGUUGAAAAUAAUCUUUACAUCUAAUAUUUAUAGACUUAGACGACCUAAAAAAUAUCCACUAAUAUUGUGUCACUUCCUUGACCCACUAAUUCACAUUUUAUAUUAUAGAAGAUCAUGGUUAAUCAUAACAACACAAAUUUGAUAACUGCACAUUAGCUCAAUUAGAGUAUAAAAUUGAUUGUUUAAGCUAACUAGCUCCAUGUUGCUAUUUUAAAGGAGUAAGUGGUCAUACACAAUUUAAACUUAGUAAACCCACGUCUUACCAAGUCAACUAAUUUAUAGGUAAAAGUUUAUUAUUCUGGCUAACUAUUCAACAUGUGACCAUGUUCUUCAUAUCCCUUAUUCUAUCCAGACGCGUCUGGAGCGCAAAUGUUGCGUCUGGGGCGUGUGACAUGUUGCAUAGUGCAUACAAAUGUGUUUUUCUCAUUUUCAAUGUAUCUUUUUUACUAUUGGGAAGUUUGAAGACUUGUGCCUUAACAGAGAAACUCAAAGACGACUGAUACUAAUAUCAUUGAAGGAGUUUUACCAAGAAUCAUUCAUGAAUCUCUCUUGUAAUUCUUCUUUAAUCUCUAUAUUUUGUAUCUAUGUCAUGAGUAACUAAACCCUAUUUGUUAGGGAUGAGUGAAACAAGAUGAAAC